rnacentral:rRNA from 1 species
UACGUAGGGUGCGAGCGUUGUCCGGAAUUACUGGGCGUAAAGAGCUCGUAGGUGGUUUGUCGCGUUGUUCGUGAAAUCUCACGGCUUAACUGUGAGCGUGCGGGCGAUACGGGCAGACUAGAGUACUGCAGGGGAGACUGGAAUUCCUGGUGUAGCGGUGAAAUGCGCAGAUAUCAGGAGGAACACCAGCGGCGAAGGCGGCGCUCUGGGCCGGAACUGACGCUGAGGAGCGAAAGCGUGGGUAGCAAACAGG